UGGAUGUAAAAGUCGUAACAAGGUCUCCGUUGGUGAACCAGCGGAGGGAUCAUUACCGAGUUUACAACUCCCAAACCCAAUGUGAACGUUACCAAACUGUUGCCUCGGCGGGGUCACGCCCCGGGUGCGUCGCAGCCCCGGAACCAGGCGCCCGCCGGAGGAACCAACCAAACUCUUUCUGUAGUCCCCUCGCGGACGUAUUUCUUACAGCUCUGAGCAAAAAUUCAAAAUGAAUCAAAACUUUCAACAACGGAUCUCUUGGUUCUGGCAUCGAUGAAGAACGCAGCGAAAUGCGAUAAGUAAUGUGAAUUGCAGAAUUCAGUGAAUCAUCGAAUCUUUGAACGCACAUUGCGCCCGCCAGUAUUCUGGCGGGCAUGCCUGUCCGAGCGUCAUUUCAACCCUCGAACCCCUCCGGGGGAUCGGCGUUGGGGAUCGGGACCCCUCACACGGGUGCCGGCCCCGAAAUACAGUGGCGGUCUCGCCGCAGCCUCUCCUGCGCAGUAGUUUGCACAACUCGCACCGGGAGCGCGGCGCGUCCACGUCCGUAAAACACCCAACUUUCUGAAAUGUUGACCUCGGAUCAGGUAGGAAUACCCGCUGAACUUAAGCAUAUCAAUAAGCGGAGGA
rnacentral:rRNA from 1 species